GCGGCCGCAGACUCCCACGGACGGCCCAGCACCCGAGCGCGCGGGCCGAGCUGCCCCAGACCCGGCGCAGCGCCUCGGCGAGGCCGUCUGCGAAGUCCGGGCCGCCACUCGGGACCGCGGCCCGAGCCAGAGGAGAGACUUCGGAGAAGAGGGAAGAGGACGCGGGGUGGGAAACGCCGGGGCCGCAGGAUGCUCAGGACCCAGUCAGCGGCGGGAUCAAGAAAAACAGGCAGGGUUUCAAUGUCAACCAAGGCAAUUAGGGAGGUUAACAAACAGCCUUCAAAACAAAACACACAGAAAAUACAUCCCAGAGGAUGUUGCGAAUCAUCCGCUCAAUAGUUCUUGUUCUUCAUCGCAUAAUUUUUCGAGUUGAAAAUUAUUAUUAUUUUCUUUGCAAUAAGUUGAGGAUUGGAAAGCUCUGGAUGCCAGUUCUGGUUCUUCCCUUACUUAACUAGCCGUUUGACCUCCACAAACCUCUGUUUACUCAUCGUAAAGGAAAGGGAUGGACCAAAUGGUUCAUAAUGUCUCUCCCAAUUCUAGGAAUUCCACGCU
rnacentral:lncRNA from 1 species